AAUAAGACAAACCCUGGGUUUCCGUGUCCAACGUUUGACUGUCCGUCUUAUAUGAAUUUUUUUUAUAAUUUGUAUUUUCAUUGUUGUUAGAUGAUAAAACAUGAUUAAUACUUUAAUGCGUGACUUGUCUUUUUAAUUUUUUUUUCAUAAUUUUUUUAAAUAAGACGGACUAUCAAACGUUAGACACGGAAACAUAUGAUUUAUCUUUUU
rfam:Oryza glaberrima chromosome 9 Oglab09_0183_31, whole genome shotgun sequence.